rnacentral:lncRNA from 1 species
CGACAAAAGGAUUUCCUGAUUUAUCCACCAUUUCAAAAAAAGGUAAUAUUUUUCCUUUGCUGGUCUAAACGUUUAUGGAUUGUUCUUGAUGCUGUUUGUUUUUAGUAAAUGGAAAAGCAAAUAGCUGGUCUAGAGGCUUCUUGCUCUCCCCUCUCAGCAUUCUAGAAUCCAGAUCCGCUCUGUAAAAUGUGCAAAAUGUUGCUUGCAUAGCCGUUGCUCUGGCCUAUGCCUAAGCUCUACAAAUUUUUUGAUGACCAUGAAAAAGUUUUACUUCACACAUGUUGAUGUUGAUGAGGAGCUGGAAUAGAUAUUGUUUAAUAAUUAUGAAUCUGUUUACUAGAAAAUAAAAGUCAGAUUGAAGGCUAUUUGUCAUUGGAACAAAUCAUUAGUAAGCGACUGGAGGUUUUUUUGAGCCAGGGACUGUACUAUUUGCUUAAAUUUGCUAACUCAUUUAAAUGUCAUAGACACCCUGCGAAGUAGGUCAUAAGAGCCCCAUUUUAUCGAGAAGGAAAUCAAGGCUCAAAGAGAUUAAGUAAUUUCUGAACGCAGUGAUACAUCCUGGUUGAACAACUAGGAUUUCUUCUCAUUUUUUCUCUUAACAGGUCCGAAGAAAAUGAAGGAGCCUCUUCCUGUACUCAUGGUACAUAAGGUAUGUCAGUAUUGUACACAUAAAUAGCAUACAUCUUCUGCCACGAGCCGAGAAUUCCUUGGCAAAUCCUCCUCAUUGAUAAUAAUUUUGAUUAUGUCCUUAGGUCUUGUGCUAAAUAUUUUUCACAUCUUAUCACAUUUCAGCCUUGCAGUAAUCCUAAAGGUAGGAUCAUAAGCCCCAUUUUACAGGUGAGAAAUGAGACAGUUUCUGCUUGCCCAAAUUUAUACACACAUGUAUCUCUUUGACUCCCUAGCCUGCGUCCUUCUCUAUAUAUCAUAUAGGCGUCAACAAUAGAUGUUUUCCUCAAGGGAGUAGUCUCCUCAGAAAUUGAAAUCAUUGGUGCCAUAAGCAAUACCGAAACGGGAAAGGUUCCCUUGUCCCGCUUGCAGGACGUGUGAUGGGGUAGUGGUUGGCUUCUUCAGUGCCCUGCUGGUGAAACCUCUAGGGGAGCAUACAGAUGGGCAGGCUGUGGGGCUCCGAUCCCAGGGCAGUGUCUAGGGAUGAAUGUUCACAGCUCCUCAAGC